ACAGAACAUCAGUUGUAGAUUUCACCAAUCUCAAUGUGGCAUCAGGAAGGCUGAAGCCAUCGUCAUUGCAGCUUCGGAUCUCUAAUGUGCGCUUACCCCUAUGGAAUAAUGAAUACGAAAAGGAUAUUUGUUGUCUGAUUUGUCCUCAACAAGUAGGUCUCUUACUUGUUCAUUGUAAAUCUCAACCAUUUGCACAUAAAUGUCAUACUUUAUAAUGUCCU